UGGAGAAUAGCAUAAGUUGCAGUGUAUUCUGUUUACACCAGAAAGGUAGUUUAUAUAACUUUUUCCGU
rnacentral:tRNA from 1 species